rnacentral:rRNA from 1 species
CUACCAGGGUUUCUAAUCCUGUUUGCUCCCCACGCUUUCGUGCCUCAGCGUCAGUUUCAGUCCAGAAAGCCGCCUUCGCCACCGGUGUUCCUCCUAAUAUCUACGCAUUUCACCGCUACACUAGGAAUUCCGCUUCCCUCUCCUGUACUCUAGUAACAUAGUUUCCAAUGCACCCCUGGAGUUGAGCCCCAGUCUUUCACAUCAGACUUACCUUACCGCCUACGCACCCUUUACACCCAGUCAUUCCGGAUAACGCUUGCCCCCUAUGUAUUACCGCGGCUGCUGGCAC